GACGAACGCUGGCGGCAUGCCUAAUACAUGCAAGUCGAGCGAACAGAUGAAGUGCUUGCACUUCUGACGUUAGCGGCGAACGGGUGAGUAACACGUAAGGAAUCUACCUAUAAGCGGGGGAUAACAUUCGGAAACGGGUGCUAAUACCGCAUAAUAUCUUCUUCCGCAUGGAAGAAGAUUGAAAGACGGCUCUGCUGUCACUUAUAGAUGACCUUGCGGUGCAUUAGUUAGUUGGUGGGGUAAUGUCCUACCAAGACGAUGAUGCAUAGCCGACCUGAGAGGGUGAUCUGCCAAAUUGGGACUGAGACACGGCCCAAACUCCUACGGGAGGCAGCAGUAGGGAAUCUUCCGCAAUGGGCGAAAGCCUGACGGAGCAAUGCCGCGUGAGUGAAGAAGGCCUUCGGGUCGUAAAACUCUGUUAUAAGAGAAGAACAAAUUGUAGAGUAACUGCUACAGUCUUGACGGUAUCUUAUCAGAAAGCCACGGCUAACUACGUGCCAGCCGCCGCGGUAA
rnacentral:rRNA from 1 species